rnacentral:lncRNA from 1 species
GUGCGCACUGGGCCAGCGGGCGGCCGGGGCAGGGCUGGGGUCCCGGCGCUGAGCGCCCCCAGCCGCGCCGGGCAGCCUGGCGCCUCGCUGAGUCGGAGCAACCCCCGGCAGGAGCUUUCAGGCUCUGGUCAAGCCUCGGGACCCGGGAAGCUAUCCCUGCCCUCGGGGGCUCGAGCCUGGAGUGGGGCUUGCAGAAAAGGAAAGGGGGCUGGCCUAAAGGCAAGAAGAGAAACCCCCCGAGGGACCUUGCUGUUCCGUGUUCCUACGACAGGAAAUCAUGAAGAUGCUGGCUGUUCAGUGGGCCCAGCUGUCUCAGGAUAAAAAGGGGGAGAUGAACUCAAUGACCUCUACUGCGGGACCUCCAGGCAGCUCUUCAGCUCCCUGUGCAACAAGAAGGAACCUGCUGCAAAGGCAGCACCUGCAGCGCCUCUCAGGUAACCAGCCUGGGCCAGGCGGCUCAGCCGCAAACGCUGGCCUUGACUCCACCUGCGCCAGAGGUCACCAACAGGCGGCCCACGUGACACCUCUUGUUAUUAAAAUGCAAUUUUAAGACAGACUCUAGUCAAGCCCACUUACCACCAGGUGGGUGUUUAGGACAGGGUAGGUCUUCCACUAUAUCUGUUUUCCUCUUAGUUCGCCAGGCCCGCCUGCUCUGGGCCACGCAGGACACGGACGUCAGCUUCUCCUGGAGCGCUCGCUCACUUUAUUCCAUCUCUACGAGCUCCUCAAGUAUCCCAGAGCAUCCCCAGGCCUGUGGCCACCUCGGGUCUGGAUGCCGCAUUCUCUGACCUGUGGCACAUUCUGGGUGCCCAUGAUUAUGAUGAGGUUCUGUGCCCAUGUGGCCUCAGGGCUCUUGAGACCACCCUUCAACCAGGUCUUUGCUCACCUGUCUCCUGCCCAGGGACGCCACCCAGGUCACCGGUGCAAACCUCCAGCCCCUGCCCGUUUCUCUCCAUGAGUGCAUUGCCACCUCGCAGCCUCUUCCACUUGCUCAUUCCUGGUGUUAUUGCCUGUCUCCCACUGGAAGAGAAGGCCCUCAAGUUCAGCAACUGUUUUGCCUGUUUUGUUCACUGUGGUGAACCCCGGGCCUAGAACCACGCCUGGCACUCCCAGUAGGUGCUCAAUAAGUAUCCAAUGAGUGGACAAAUGAAUGGAUGUGUUCAACAAAUGACCCUAGAGCGUGUAUUCCUUCCAGGGACAGAGCGAGGUACUGGGGACACAGGAAGGACGAGGCAGAGCUCCGCGCUGACGAAACCAAGGGCCAAGCGUGCGAGUGAAUACGAACAUCCUGGCGUUAAAACGUCUUGCAUUCUAGUGAAAUGAGACCCAUUGGACACAGAGAAGCCCCACCACAAUUGCAUCUGUGUAAAAUCGAGAGAAAGAUCGUGAAAACAGCCAUGGCAGGUGCUGGACUAAGGGGUGACAUUGGGUUUUCUCUUCCCACCUAUCCUUUAGGGUUGUUAAAACAGAAAUAGAUCUCACGUAGGCCCCUGCUCUGCACCCUGCUUGCUGAGUCACGCAGGGCCAGUUACGCAGCUACCGUGUGCUUACCCGGCCUCAUCUGUAAAAUAAGGAUGACACUGCCUGCCUGGCAGGGCUCUCCUGAGAAUACACAGUGCCUCGUGCAGGGCCCAGUGCAGCAGAGAGGUCACCUCCUCCAGGAAGACUUUCCUGACCUGGGCUUGGGGUUGGGCCUCCCCAGGGCUCCUAAGGCUUCCCCACAUACCCUUCACUUUGCAAUGAUCAUCCCCUGUUACUGUCCCACAACACACAUUACACACAACACCAUACAAACACAUGCAUUCUACACACACACAACAUACACAUGCACUACAUAUAACACACAUUAUACACAUUACAAACACAACACAUACCCCACACUUCACACUCAUAUACACACAUACACCACCCACAUACACUCCAAACACUCCGCACACAUACAAACACAUACUACAUACAACACACUCAUACCACACACAUGCACACACGGGUCUGGAGGGCGGUGCUGUGUGGGGCUCCGGGCGCAUCCCUGAUCCAUAGCAGAUACUGAAUAUUUGCUGAAGGAAUAUCCAGGAGACUCGUGCUACGUCUGGUGUUUGAAAGGAAAUGAACAGUUCUUGGUAAUGUCUUGUUUAGGGUGAAUAAUGGCACUGAAGACAGAAAAUGCAUCUUAUCACCUGCUCUGGAGCAAAACAUGUGUGCUUGGAUGCGUAGAGUUAUUCUGUGUAAAUUACCCACCAGAGAGAAUUCAGGCGUGUUUCAAAAUCUAUAAAACCGUGUGCUGGGGGACCAUGAAAAGUUGUAGAUGCACGUGGCCGUGAACCACUGUAACUCUCUGGGGGCCUGCGUGACCGUUUAAAAGGAAACAGACAUGGGCAAACCUCGUUUCAUCUUCUCUCUAAAUCACCUACAAUUUUACAGUAGCAGUCGGGCUCUUGAGAGCUUUCCCAUUUCCACUUUUCUUGGUGGAUCUUGCUGGAAAUCAGUGCUUUUGGCAGCUGCAGUCUCUGAGGCGGGGCCCUGAUUGGGGAUGGGGUGUUAACCUUGCAUUCUUUGGGGUUCAGGUCUCAAAUGGCUCUUGUAGCCCUGGGAUCUGAGGAGCGAGACCAGGACUCAGCUAUCUCCACCCCGGAAGAACCUUCCCUGCUCUUCCACAUCCAGCCCAGGCCUCGGCUUCCUCGUCUGCAAAACGAGGGUGCUGAGAAGAUGGGAGCAGGGGUCCAGCGUUUUCAUCAGCAGGGCUGUUGAGAUGUAAUUCCCAUGCCAUAGUGCCCACUGGUUGAAAGUCUAUACAGUUCAGUGGUUUCUAGUGUAUUUUCAGAUAUAUGCAGCCAUCACUGUGGUGGACUUUAGAACAUCUCUGUCACCCCAAAGAGCAACCCCGUUUCCAUUGGUGUCACUCCCGGGGCUCCGCAUUCCCAGCCCAGCAGCCUAGGACAAGUUUUCUGCCUCUGCAGGAGGCCCCCAAGUUUCAGAUCUUGAUGUCUCCUUUCUGUGGGGAGUCCAGCAGGCAUCUCCACCUUAGGGACAGCUUAGUGGACAGUGCUGUGUCACCAUCAAGGGCCUGAAUCCCCGCUCUGUCACCUACUACCUCUUUUACCUUGGGCAAAUUCUUCACCCUUUGCCUUGGUUUCCUUAGGUGAAAAUGGGAUCAUCGUGCUGACCUCAAGGGCAGCUGUAGGAUUCGAUGUUCCUCAUGUCACGGUCUCUAACCGUGUGGCACAUUCUGGGUGCCCAUGGUUACGAUGAUGGGUUUGGGGGCUGGAGGGAUCAGUGACUUUCUGCCUCCACCCCCUCUCUAGGAACGGCAGGCUGCUAAGGAACCCCACAGGCACAUGCUGUGUGGCUCCCUGCACGCUGUCCUUCUCCUGCCGUGGCUUUUCACCUUUGUGUGCCAGUCUUGCUCCUGUUCAUGCCUCAAAAUCCCACCAAAAAGACAAUAACAGGUGCUGGCAAGCAUGUAGAGAAACUGAAGCCCUGCUGCUCUGGUGGUGACAGAGGGCACACUGCAUUGGAGAAUGGUCUGACAGCUCCUCAAAAGGUUAAACAUAGAGUUGCCGUGUGACCCAGCCAUUCCGCUCCGGUGGCCAAUCUGAGGUUUCAGUCCAGGCUGUCUGGUUCCAAGGACUCUGUUCUUUACCACUUUCUAUGUGUACACCCAAAGAACUGCAAAUGUAUGAUCAACCAAAAAUAUGAACAUGAACGCUCAUCGCGGCACAGUUCGUAAUAGCCAAAAAGUGGAAACAAACCAAACGCCCAUCAAGGGUUGAAUGGAUAAACAAAACGUGGCCCAUCCUUACAACAGCGUAACCUUGGGCCGUACAGAGGAGUGAAGUAUGAUAUGCACCACGAUGCGGAGGAAACUUGAGAACAUAGUAAGUGAAAGAAACCAGACACAAAGGACCACACACGGUGUGAUUCCAUUCACACCAGAUGUCCAGAGCAGGAGAUCUGUAGAGGCAGAAAGGAGAUUGCUGGUUGUCUAGGGCUGGGUUUCGGGAGGAUAAGGGAGUGAUAGCCAAAGGCUGCGAGUUUCUUUAUAAAGGAUGAAAAUGUCCUAAAAUUGGGGUGAUGGUUGCAUGUCUGUGAACCUACUAAAAACCACUGAAUCACACACUUACUUUAUUUUUAUUUCUUUAUUUAUAUUUAUUUAUUUAUUUAUUGAGUCAAGGUCUCACUCUGUCGUCCAGGCUGGAGUCCAGUGGUACAAUCACAACUCACUGCAGCCUCAACCUCCCAGGUUCAGCUGAUCCUCCCACCUCAGCCUCCUGAGUAGCUGGGACUGCUGGCGUUGGUCACCAUGCCUGGCUAAUUAUUUUGUAGAGAUGGGUUUUACGCCACGUUACCCAGCAUGGUUUCGAACUCCUGGACUCAAGGGGUCUGUCCACCUCGGCCACCCAAAGUGCUGAGAUUACAGGCGUGAGCCACUGCACCCAACCAUGAUAUGUGAACUAGAUCUCAAUAAAGCUGUUAGGCAAAAAACAAAACAAAACAAAAAAACACCAUCUCAAUCAAGGACCCUUACUCCAGGAGGCCUCCUCUGCUGGCCUCUGCCCCUGCCUGGUCCUGGCGUGCUCUGCUUGUCUGUCUCUCUGUCCACCAAACAGGGGACCCUGAGGCAGAGGCUGGUUCGCCCACAUGUGGACAGAGGGCCAGGCCUGGAAGUGCUGCUAAUUCUCUGCUCGUGGGCUGACCUCUGUGACAGGAUUUCUUUGCUUUUUAGGGGAAUUUAAAAAAGAUCCUGCCACGUACUCAUAGCACCUGGAGCCUCUGGAGGAAGAGGAGGGACAAAUGAGGUCAAGUCAGAGGAGGAAGCUGAGGGCCCCGAGUCCCUUCUGCUCAGAUGUCCGCAUCCAGAGAGGAGUUCUGCUUCUCUCAACCUGUGUUUCUUGCAAGAGUUUAUCUAUAAAUUGCUGAAAAAUGGGUAAUCAAGUUCAGCAACUCCCUGGCAUCUGUGAUGACCUAUGGUUUGUAAUCCUAGUCAGAAUCACCUACAUAGAGGAUAUAAUAUUAAUCAGAACAAAACAGAAAAGUCGCUAGAGGAAUAACAAUAGUAAAAUUUACAAUCAGAUGAAGAAUAAAGUUUUCAAUGAGGCACAGUUCUAAGCACUUCAUACAAAUAACCUGUCUUAAUUCUCAUAAAAGUACUGCAAGGCAGGUGAUAAUAUCAUCUCCUUCUAAAGAUAAAAUGCAGCACAGAGAGGUUAAGUAACUUGUCCAAUGUUGAACAGCUAGUGAGUGGUCAAUCUGAGAUUUAAAUCCAGGCUGUCUGGGUCCAAGAACUCUGUUCUUCACUACUUCUCAACAACAUCAACUAUGUAAAAUGACACACAUACAUAAACCCACAUCAAUGGUAAUGGUGGUAAUCUCUGGCCGGCAAGAUGAAAGAAGAUGUUAUGCAAUUCUUCAGUCCUUUCUGUGUCUGCCACAUUUUCCCCAAUGGAUAGAUGUCACUUAAAUUAUCAGAGGAAGAAACAAACUCUAUUAAAAGGAAUUUCAAGGGCCGGGCAAGAUGGAUCACACCUGUAAUCCCAGCACUUUGGGAGGCCGAGGUGGGCGGAUCACCUGAGGUCAGCAGUUCGAGACCAGCCUGGCCAACAUGGCGAAACCCUGUCUCUACUAAACAUACAAAAAAAUUAGCCGGGCGUGGUGGCACAUGCCUGUAAUCCCAACUACUUGGGAGGCUGAGGCAGGAGAAUCACUUGAAUCUGGGAGGUGGAGGUUGCAGUGAGCCAAGAUCGCACCACUGCACUCAAGCCUGGGCGACAGAGCAAGGCUUCAUCUCAAAAAAAUAAAAUAAAAUAAAAUUAUUGUUUUAUUCUGCUUAUAAAAUUAGCAUAUUCAUUGAAGCUAGGCACAGUGGCUCCUGCCUGUAAUCGCAGCCCUUUGGGAGACCAGGGCGGGUAGAUCACUUGAGGCCAGGAGUUCGAGACCAGCCUGGCCAACAUGGUGAAACCCCGUCUCUAAUGAAAAUACAAAAAUUAGCUGGGUUUGGUGGCAGGCACCUGUAAUCCCAGCUACUCAGGAGGCUGAGGCACGAGAAUCGCUUGAACCCAAGAGGCGGAUGUUGCAGUGAGCUGAGGUUGCACCACUGCACUCCAACCUGGGUGACAGAGCGAGACUCUGUCUCAAAAUAAAUAAAAUAAAAUAAACAUAUUAAUUGAAGAAAAUUUUGAAAUUUCAGAAAAGUAUAUGAAGAAAAUGUAAACACUAUCAGUAGAGAAGUGUUGUUAGCAUUUCAGUGCAGUGUUUCUAGUCUUAUUUUCUAUAAAUAUCUGAAUCUACCCGCCUAUUUCUCUAUCUCUCUACCUAAAUAUAUCUGCAUGUUAUUUGUAUAUCUGCAUAUUUAUCUUAUAUUUAUCUAAAUAAAUAUAUCUAACUAUAUCUCUAUAUAGAGAUAGAGAUAGAAAGAUGGAGAGAAAGAGAGAUAGAGAGAUGGACAUGAAGGUAAAAUCCGUCCUGCAGCUCCCAUUUGCAGAAGAGCGUGAGCAUUUUCACAUCUCCUUCAACGUUCUUUUAGGCAUCGCCCCUCCUGGCUGCAUAAUAUUUCAUCAUAUGCGUGAGCCGCACUGGCUGCCCAGUUCCUCACUGUGUCGUUGUUUGUUUGUUUGUUUGUUUUGAAACAGAGUCUCACUCUGUCGCCCAGGCUGGAGUACCGUGGCAUGAUCUUGGCUCACUGCAAACUCCGCCUCCUGAGUUCAAGUGAUUUCCGGCUAAUUUUUGUAUUUUUAGUCGGGAUGGGGUUUCACCACAUUAACCAGGCUGGUGUUGAACUUCUGACCUCAAGUGAUCCGCCCUCCUCGGCCUCCCAAAGUGCUAGGAUUACAGGCGUGAGCCACCGUGCCUGGCCAUUAUGACUGUACGUUUUGGUGACACCUGGUUCUUACGUUAGAAAUCAGGCUGCUGAACGUUCUGCUCUGUGUGUGUCUUUGUGCCCAUUCUUGUUGGCUUCCUUAGAGGGAUUUCUGGAAGUUCAAUGAUUAUGUAAAAAGCACAAGCCUUGCUGGGACCCUGGAGUGGCGUUGGAGUCUCUCGUGGUUAGGAGCCCAGGCCCUGGCCUGGCCAUCGGGGGCUGGAAUCCUGGCUGUGUCCUCCGUAGCCAUGUGCCCCAGGCAGCUUUCCUCACCGCCUGCCUGUCAUCCAGGGAUGCAGGUAGGUCCUGCUCCAUGGGGUUGUCAUGGCGAUCACAGAGACUUGUCCGUGUGGACCACCUAGAGCAGUACCUAGCAGGGCACCUGGCGCCCUGGGGUCACCUUGGAUCAGGGUUGCAGCUGACCCACUCCCAUCCCUCCCAAAGGCCCUUCAGCCCAGACUUUUGUGCACCCCAAAUUCCAUCAAAAUCCUUUUUCCUUUGAGAGUAACUUUAUUCAUUUCCCUGCAGCUUAUUAAAGAAUUCUG